rnacentral:rRNA from 1 species
UACAGAGGGUGCGAGCGUUGUCCGGAAUCACUGGGCGUAAAGGGCGCGUAGGCGGCUUGAUAAGCGUGCGGUGAAAGCCCGGGGCUCAACCCCGGGUCGGCCGUGCGAACUGUCGAGCUGGAGCACUGUAGAGGCUCAUGGAAUUCCGGGUGUAGCGGUGGAAUGCGUAGAGAUCCGGAAGAACACCGGUGGCGAAGGCGGUGAGCUGGGCAGUAGCUGACACUGAGGCGCGACAGCGUGGGGAGCAAACAGG